rnacentral:rRNA from 1 species
CCUACGGGAGGCAGCAGUGGGGAAUAUUGCACAAUGGGGGAAACCCUGAUGCAGCGACGCCGCGUGGGUGACGAAGUAUUUCGGUAUGUAAAGCCCUAUCAGCAGGGAAGAAGAUGACAGUACCUGACUAAGAAGCCCCGGCGAACUACGUGCCAGCAGCCGCGGUAAUACGUAGGGGGCAAGCGUUAUCCGGAUUUACUGGGUGUAAAGGGAGCGUAGGUGGCAUGGCAAGCCAGAAGGGAAAACCCGGGGCUUAACCCCGCGGAUUGCGUUUGGAACUGGCAGGCUGGAGUGCAGGAGGGGCAGGCGGAAUUCCUGGUGUAGCGGUGAAAUGCGUAGAUAUCAGGAGGAACACCGGUGGCGAAGGCGGCCUGCUGGACUGUAACUGACGCUGAGGCACGAAGGCCAGGGGAGCGAAAGGGAUUAGAUACCCCUGUAGUC